GUAAAGAAACAGGGCUCAGGGAGGCUGCCGGAUGCAUAAACAGUAUGUAAUCCACCGAAUGUGCUGGGAAUUAGAGAAUAAGGGAUCAACCACACAAUUCCGCUGCUACUAUGUUCUGUGGGGGACACCUCUACACGGAACAGACUAGUACUGCUUGUAGAAAGGCCCCCCUUUUUUAAAAAUGAGAAAUCCCAUGCUUACUGAACUUCUCCCAUCAAUUUAAUCUGCAUACUUUACCUUCCUCAAAGUAUUAAGAUGCUGUCAUAAAAAUUUAAACGGAUAAGCCUUUCUUUAAGAGUACUAAAUCAUGCCACUAGUUAAAUUUAUUAAACUAUUUAGAAAUCGAGAGAAAGUGGAGAUUGUGGAUUAAUAGCUUGAAUCAGUCCAACCAUGCAAAGGAGCCAAGGGCAAAGCUGGGCGUGGUGAGGAUAAUAGUGUUUUGGACACAAGAGAGAAGAAGGACAUAAACC
rnacentral:lncRNA from 1 species